ACACAGCGAGCCACUUCCAAUAGACAUGAGGUGUCUGUUUGUCUAGAUCAGGGGAGGUGUGCUGCUGUCAGGCCCUCCAGGCCUGUAAUUAAAGAAAAGGCAAAGGUCCGUCUACACACUAUACAGUAUGUGUAACACGUAAUUUGGUCCACAGCAACAGAGGAAGAGGAGGAAACAAGGAGAGGGAAGACUUGAACUUGCCCAUUUCAACUCAUGUGUGUGCCCGAGAAAGACUCAGAGAAGGGGCUGGGUCCUGCUUCACCUCGCUGCAUUGAUUUUGCCUCCUGCCAAGCCUGUGCAAAGCAAGAGAAUGGCCUUUUGCUGAGUCCUCUGCAAUUCAUUGAGAACUCAGAGAAGGGGCAGCCACCAGAUGGGAAAAGCUCGUUGCCACCAGUGACCUGGAUCUAACUCACCUACUAUGGAACUGUCCAGUAAUCAAACCCUUCUGGAAGGAAGUACAGACUAGAAUCAACUGGGUUCUGGACAACAGGAGACACCAACACCAUAAUUGGCUACGUUCCUGCCAGGUGGGGGCUAUGAAAAGGAUGGGAAGGAUGGUUUCACUGAGCCAUUCUAACAGCAAAAUGAAUUAUCCUUCAACAUUGGAAAGCCUGGACAACAUCAAGCACAGAAAACUGGAUACAAGACCUUUUGCAGCUAGCAGUUCGCGAGAAAAGACUGCUCUGUAAACCAUACAAAAAUGGAAACUUCCAAGAGAUUUGGAGUGCAUUUUUGGAAUUCUUCACUGAGUAAAACCUACAACUUGAAGAAGUGGAACACACAUGCAGUGCACGGGUGGAAACUUCAACUCAACAGUUAUUGAUCUGGGACCCCAGCAGAACAAUGACACAAAUUUAUCUGAACCCUUAGCUGAGCAUAUGAACCUGGACACUGCAUAACACAUUAAACAACUGAACAUCAAAAAUGAAAAUGUAUAUAAAGAAAAAGAAAAGGGCAUCAGGACAAAGGGAAGUAAGGGAGAUGGGAAAGAGGUGGAGGAAGGAAUAAGGGACUAUUGUAAUAAUGAGGAAAAUCCCUGGGAUCCUUCUAGGAGGUUGGGCAGGAUAUAAAUUUAAUAAAUAAAUAAUAAACUAUACAUUUUAUUUAAAAAUUG